rnacentral:rRNA from 1 species
GGUGAGUAACACGUGACUAACCUACCUCCGAGUGGGGAAUAACUCCGGGAAACCGGGGCUAAUACCGCAUAACAUCGCAAGAUCAAAGCAGCAAUGCGCUUGGAGAGGGGGUCGCGGCUGAUUAGCUAGUUGGCGGGGUAACGGCCCACCAAGGCGAAGAUCGGUAUCCGGCCUGAGAGGGCGCACGGACACACUGGAACUGAAACACGGUCCAGACUCCUACGGGAGGCAGCAGUGGGGAAUUUUGCGCAAUGGGGGAAACCCUGACGCAGCAACGCCGCGUGGAGGAUGAAGCCCUUUGGGGCGUAAACUCCUUUCGACUCGGACGAUAAUGACGGUACGAGUGGAAGAAGCACCGGCUAACUCUGUGCCAGCAGCCGCGGUAAUACAGAGGGUGCAAGCGUUGUUCGGAAUUAUUGGGCGUAAAGGGCGCGUAGGCGGUGCGGUAAGUCACCUGUGAAAUCUCCUGNCUUAACUGGGAGUCUGCAGGCGAAACUAC